rnacentral:rRNA from 1 species
UACGUAGGAUCCAAGCGUUAUCCGGAUUUACUGGGCGUAAAGCGUGUGUAGGUGGGAUGUUAAGUGAGAUGCGAAAUCUAGCGGCUCAACCGUUAGACUGUAUCUCAUACUGGCAACCUUGAGGACGGCAGAGGCAAGUGGAAUUGCGGGUGUAGCAGUGAAAUGCGUAGAGAUCCGCAGGAACACCAAUGGCGAAGGCAGCUUGCUGGGCCGCCCCUGACACUGAGACACGAAAGCGUGGGGAGCGAACAGG